rnacentral:rRNA from 1 species
GGAAUAUUGGACAAUGGGCGCAAGCCUGAUCCAGCCACGCCGCGUGUGUGAUGAAGGCCUUCGGGUCGUAAAGCACUGUGGAGGGGGACGAAACCGUAGCGGGAAUAAUACCUCGUUGCAUUGACGGUACCCCUUUAGCAAGCACCGGCUAACUCCGUGCCCGCAGCCGCGGUAAUACGGAGGGUGCAAACGUUGCUCGGAAUUAUUGGGCGUAAAGCGCGUGUAGGCGGCUCGCUAAGUCGAGCGUGAAAGCCCUGAGCUCAACUCAGGAAUUGCGUUCGAUACUGGCAAGCUAGAGUACGGGAGAGGGUAGCGGAAUUCCCGGUGUAGAGGUGAAAUUCGUAGAUAUCGGGAGGAACACCAGUGGCGAAGGCGGCUACCUGGACCGAUACUGACGCUGAGACGCGAAAGCGUGGGGAGCA